rnacentral:lncRNA from 1 species
AGGAAUCGAGAACAAUCUUUACCCCUUCGUUUUCCUCAACGUUGAUGGAAACUUGUUUAUUUUCGCCAACAAUCGUGCUAUUUUGUUUGAUUAUGUGAACAACAUUGUUGUCAAAAAGUAUCCUAUGAUCCCCGGCGGUGAACCUCGAAGCUAUCCGAGCACUGGUUCGGCCGUUUUGCUUCCAUUAAAGAACUUGAAAGCUGCAGCCAUUGAAGCUGAAGUUCUAGUAUGUGGUGGUGCUCCUAAAGGAUCCUACCUUCAAUCUUUAAAAGGUACUUUCAUGGCUGCCUUGAAUACAUGCGCUCGGAUUAAAAUAACCGACCCGAAUCCAGAAUGGGUCAUGGAGACUAUGCCUUUAGCUAGAGUCAUGGGUGACAUGAUAUUGCUUCCAAACGGCAACAUUUUGCUCAUCAACGGCGCCGGUUCCGGGACGGCGGGAUGGGAACAGGGUCGGGACCCAGUUUUGAGUCCGGUCUUGUACCAACCUGACAACAAUAUCGGCUCACGGUUCGAGGUCCAAAACCCGACCACCAUCCCUCGUAUGUACCAUUCCACGGCGGCUUUACUUCGUGAUGGAAGAGUUUUAGUCGGUGGAAGCAAUCCCCACGCGUUUUACAACUUCACCGGCGUACUUUUCCCGACCGAACUAAGCUUAGAGGCAUUCUCGCCGGCGUACUUGGACGCUAAAUUCGACAAGCUGCGACCAACUAUCAUUGCUUCUAAGUCGAUGUCAGGGAUUCGAUACCGGAAGAAAUAUACGAUCCAAGUGGUGAUUAACAGCAACAAAGUGGAUGAAAGCUCGGUGUCGGUGACAAUGUUUGCACCAGCUUUCAACACGCAUUCGUUCUCCAUGAAUCAAAGGUUGCUUGUUCUCGGAAACGAAAAAGUGACAGCGGUGGGUAACUCGAUGUACAAUGUUGAAGCAACGACGCCAAAGUCGGGGAAUCUAGCGCCGUCAGGAUUUUAUCUAUUGUUUGUGGUUCAUCAAGGCAUUCCAAGUCAAGGCAUUUGGGUCAGGUUGCAUUAAGACUAAACAAAACAUGAAAAAAAAUACAAACAUUCAUUAAAAUCUGCAAAAAUAAGGUUAGUGAUUUGUGCCAGAGGGGUUGAUUGAUCCAAGUUCACUUGUAAGACCAGAAAAAAGAAUGUUGGUGCUUUGUUUGUAUUUAAAGGAUUUGAUGAUGUAACCAAUAUGUAAUUUUUUUGUAUUAUUCUUCAAAAUAUAAAGAUGGUUCAAUAAAAGGAGGAUUUUGUUGUUAUUAAUUUUAAUUAAAAAUUGGAUAAAUAAUAGAGUGUUGAAUCCGAUCCCUUUAAUAUACAGGUGGUAUGCACUUUCACCUCUUUUUUAAUACAGUAGCAAUGAUAAAAAAGAGCCAAAAACAAUGAGCAAAUGACCACGGAGCCACCACCAAUAUUGAAAUUUCAAAGGACAGUGUGGUUCGAUGAGCAAUGAACAAAUUGACUAGAAACAGUACCCUACCGGUGAGGCCGUUGAUGAAAUUAUAAAACUUUAGUAGGCGGAAGCAAUCCCCACGCGUUUUACAAUUUCACCGGCGUGCUUUUCCCAACCGAACUAAGUUUAGAGGCAUUCUCGCCGCAUACUUGGAUGCUAAAUUCGACAAGCUGUGACCAACCAUCGUUGCUUCUAUCGAUGUCUGGGAUCCGAAACCGAAAAGAAUAUACAAUUCAAGUGGUGAUUAAUAGCGAAAAAGUGGAUGAAAGCUUGAUGUCGAUAACAAUGUUUGCACCAGCUUUCAACACGCAUUCGUUCUCCAUGAAUCAAAGGUUGUUUGUUCUCGAGAACGACAAAGUGACGGCGGUGAGUAACUCGACGUACAACGUUGAAGCAAAGAUGCCGAGGUCGGCGAAUGUAGCCCCUUCGGGGUUUUAUUCAAUGUUUAUGGUUCAUCAAAGCAUUUGGGUCAAGUUGUACUAGUUCUAAUCAAAAUGAAACGAAGAACACAGUGAAAAGCAUUCAUUCAAAUUUAUGAAAUAAUCGUGUUAAUUUAUUAUUUAGAAUUUAUUAAGUAGUGAUGUCAAUUUAAUAAAAAAAAUUAAAUUGUAUAAAUCAAUCCUUAUAUAAUAAUGAAUAAUAAAUAAUUAACUAAACUUGAUCAAACAAAAUAAAACUUUAUAUAAAUUAUUGAAUGAGAUAAGGGUUUCGGAGUGUAGAAUGUUUUAUAUAAAUUAUUUAUUUAUACCAAAUAAUGAUUUGGGUAAAAGAAUAAUAUAAAAUAGAUUUAAUUGUUGACUUGAAUGAAGCGGUGGUUUUAGUUUAAUUAAUAUAAUUGAUAUUUUAAUAAAAUUAUAUUUUAAUUUUCAGAUAUUUAUAAUUUACUAAUAUAGCAUCAAUUCAUCGGAUUGAUUGGGUUGGUUUACCAGCUAAAAAUUCUUUUUGAUUUAAAUAUUUGGGUUCAUAAAAAUAGUCAUGCAUGUAUAUGUAGCUUCAGCAAAAUGUAGAGGGAAACCAAUUAUAUAGUUAGGCAAAAGAAUGUUUGGUGAACAGUCAAACUCUUAUCUCAUUCAAUGCAUACUUCUAAUCUCUUAUUUUCUCCAAGUAUGUUACAUUUUAUAUUUAAUAUUGAGAUGCAAAUUCUUAUUAAUAUGAAAUAAAAUUAGAAUUAUCUCGAAAUAAAAUGUAAGGAAUUAAAAAUUGAAAUAUAACCAGACUUAUGCAAUCAACUCCUAUCUUAUGUGUGAUUUGUUCGUUGCUACAACUUAUCUACAUGCAUUUGCGAUUCUAAUUAAAAUAUAAUAAUUGAAUUCUAAGACGAGACACAUAUAAAAGUAUAUGUAUUUUAGAACGAGAAAAUACAAAAGAAUAUUCCCCAACAUUUUAAUUAUUUAUGCACACGUCGUUUAUUUUUUAAAUUAUAAAAUUUUGUCAACAAUGUGUGGAUGGCAAUUAUUUAUGACAAACUAUCAACCUGCAACAUUGAACUUCGAUAAAAGAAAAUUUAAGAAAUUCCUAAAAUUAAAUAGUUGUCAUGAUUUUAUUUCAUAAAUGUACACUACAAUAUAUAUUUUAUAAUAUAGUAUGAAUUAUGCAUACAUCUCCAGAAUUUUUAUUUAUCCACUAAUAAUACAUCCAAGAAUUAUUUAUAUAAUAAACAAUGAGAAUAAAAGAUUAUGAUAAUUUAAAAAAUAAAAGAAUGAUUGUUUAAAACUUUUUUAUAUGAAAAGAAUGUCAAACAUAAAAACUUCAAUUAAAAUUUAGGAAAAUGGCAUUCCCUCCUUCCCAAAGCACACCAAAUUGAAACACAUCUGAUCAUCAAUACCCCAUCAAAGCAAAAAUGGCACUUCCUUCGUUUAUUUUCUCAACCUUUCUUCUUCUUCAGCUUCUAUUUGCAUCAUUGCCCACCCGCCGUACCCUCACCUCCGCUGUCGAUGGCAGUUGGCAAAUCUUGCAAAAAAGUAUCGGAAUCUCCGCCAUGCACAUGCAACUUCUUAGGAACGAUCGUGUGAUAAUGUUCGAUAGAACCGAUUUUGGACCAUCAAAUCUAUCGUUACCGAACGGAAAAUGCCGCAAUGACCCGACCGACACAGCUCUCCAAGUGGAUUGCACUGCUCAUUCGGUAGAGUACGAUGUUUUUGCCAAUAAAUUUCGGCCUCUCACGGUCCAAACCGAUGUUUGGUGCUCUUCAGGUGCCAUCAUGCCCGAUGGUAACUUGUUCCAAACCGGCGGUUUCAACGACGGUGAACGUUGGGUCAGGGUUUUUAGCCCAUGCAGGACAUGCGAUUGGAAUGAAAUACCAAAUGGAUUGACGGCCAAAAGAUGGUAUGCAAGUAACCAUAUAUUACCCGACGAGAGACAAAUCAUCAUUGGUGGUCGAGGACAGUUUAACUACGAGUUCAUCCCUAAAAACAUCGUCGCUAAUAAGAUCAACUUGCCUUUCUUAUCGGAAACUAACGACAAAGGAAUCGAGAACAAUCUUUACCCCUUCGUUUUCCUCAACGUUGAUGGAAACUUGUUUAUUUUCGCCAACAAUCAUGCUAUUUUGUUCGAUUAUGUGAACAACAUUGUUGUCAAAAAGUAUCCUAUGAUCCCCGACGGUGAACCUCGAAGCUAUCCGAGCACUGGUUCGGCCGUUUUGCUUCCAUUAAAGAACUUGAAAGAUGCAGCCAUUGAAGCUGAAGUUCUAGUAUGUGGUGGUGCUCCUAAAGGAUCCUACCUUCAAUCUUUAAAAGGUACUUUCAUGGCUGCCUUGAAUACAUGCGCUCGGAUUAAAAUAACCGACCCGAAUCCAGAAUGGGUCAUGGAGACUAUGCCUUUAGCUAGAGUCAUG